rnacentral:rRNA from 1 species
UGGGGAAUUUUGGACAAUGGGGGAAACCCUGAUCCAGCCAUCCCGCGUGUGCGAUGAAGGCCUUCGGGUUGUAAAGCACUUUUGGCAGGAAAGAAACGUCGCGGGUUAAUACCCCGCGAAACUGACGGUACCUGCAGAAUAAGCACCGGCUAACUACGUGCCAGCAGCCGCGGUAAUACGUAGGGUGCAAGCGUUAAUCGGAAUUACUGGGCGUAAAGCGUGCGCAGGCGGUUCGGAAAGAAAGAUGUGAAAUCCCAGAGCUUAACUUUGGAACUGCAUUUUUAACUACCGGGCUAGAGUGUGUCAGAGGGAGGUGGAAUUCCGCGUGUAGCAGUGAAAUGCGUAGGUAUGCGGAGGAACACCGAUGGCGAAGGCAGCCUCCUGGGAUAACACUGACGCUCAUGCACGAAAGCGUGGGGAGCAAACAGGAUUAGAUACCCUGGUAGUCCACGCCCUAAACGAUGUCAACUAGCUGUUGGGGCCUUCGGGCCUUGGUAGCGCAGCUAACGCGUGAAGUUGACCGCCU